rnacentral:rRNA from 1 species
AUACGGAGGAUGCGAGCGUUAUCCGGAUUUAUUGGGUUUAAAGGGUGCGCAGGCGGCGCGAAAAGUCAGCGGUCAAAGUUCCGGGCUCAACCCGGUGACGCCGUUGAAACUUUCGUGCUGGAGUUCGUGCGAGGGAGGCGGAAUGCGUUGUGUAGCGGUGAAAUGCAUAGAUAUGACGCAGAACCCCGAUUGCGAAGGCAGCUUUCCAGCACGCGACUGACGCUGAGGCACGAAAGCGUGGGGAGCGAACAGGAUUAGAUACCCUGGUAGUCCACGCGGUAAACGAUGAAUACUAGCCCUGCGGCGCGAAUGGGUGCUGCGGGGCAGAGUGAAAACGUUAAGUAUUCCACCUGGGGAGUACGCCGGCAACGGUGAAACUCAAAUGAAUUGGCGGGG